AUUCCAAAUGUAAAUAGUGUUCCUAUCUUUUAGCUAAGUGCAUUAACAUUGCUAGCUCACUAGGCCUUAGACAUCAUGAAGCUGUUGGAUAAAUCUUUGAAAGAGGCCUGGCUUUUGAUUUAUAGGAGCUACCAUCUGGAUAACAUAUUGUAAUUAAUGCUGUUUUUAGGCAACAUUUACAAAAAAAACCUUCUACCAUUCCCUCUAAUAGAAAUUAAUAUUACUUAUCUCAAUUUGUAGUUAUGCUCCUUUCUUAGGAGACAAAUAAUUACAAAUAUAGUCUUUUUUUUAGAUCUUGUUACUUCAUCUUCUGCUCCAAGUCAUGAACGUCAGAGCCAACUGUCCUGAUUUGGUAGGAAAAGUCCUUGUUAAUCCUCUGACAUCUCACCUUUUCAGCUGUUAUCAGUUUUCUCCUCUUUGAUGUCAACUUAUUUCAAUUGCUGCAAACUGCAGGUGUAUCUGCACUGUAGAACAAAUACAGUUUGACACCAUUUGAACUGUCACGACUCAAUGCAAUGGAAUAAUCAAAAAUUGCAGUUUUAUAAGGUCUUUAACCUUUUCGGCUAGAGUGUUGAUCACUCACCAAACUAUAAAUCUAAGGAUUCCAUAGCACUGAAUGCAGUGGUAUGAAACUGCACUAAUUCAACACUGUAGUAGAUGCACUCUCAGUUCAAAGUGGAAAUUACUUUUCACCCAGAUAAUUUGCAGGAAGAAGAGGAGAGAUAGGGUACAGGUAAAAUGAAACUGCCGCAGCUCCUCCUAGCUUGUGUUUUCCUUAUUGAUCACUUCUGCCAUCUUGACCACAUCUUGAAGUUGUUUGGCCAAACAUGUUUUACUUUUCACAGUACCAUUCAAGAGAGCCAAAUAACAUCAGUAACAGGGAGCUUGGAGGAAAAUGCAGUGUUUGUCUGCUGCAGGCUGCCUUUGACCUCAACUCCUGGUGACUGGCUCCUCACAGACUCAGGCCCUGACUGCCCGGCUGAAGCAAGGCCCAGCAGAAACACCUGCUGCCUCCAGAGGCUGGGGCAAAAAAGGAGCGUGCCGGCAUGGACCCAGUUACACAGCACCAUCCAAGAGAGCUAAAUAAGAGCUUAAGAUCACAACAGGGGGAAGGCCUUAGUAUAAUGUGGUGCUGCUAUAAUAGUCCUGGACUGUAAUGCUGCUACUCAACCAAGAGACUCGAGAAACAACACUAUAUCCUGUAUCCAGCAAUGAAUGCUGAAGAACCUUUGCUGAAUGCCUUGCUUGAAUGCAAAUAGUGGCCUUUGGUUCACACAUCAUGGAUUUCCUGUUUCCUCUGUCCACUGUCUCAUUCCUCCUUAAGCCGCGUGCAGAACUAAGGUAUUUUAUAUUUUAAAUAUGAUAUAGAUAUACUUCCCAUUACGUUUAUUAUUCCAUAUCAUUCUCUUAAACUCCUUCCUUUCUUUCAGCUGCUUCUCACAUAAACUCCCUUGAAUCAGCUUUUUCAUUCAAUUGUGGGCUGAAUCACAGUAUCAGGAUUUCCUGUCCCUGAAAAGUGCCCACUUAUGUGACACCUUCAAACAAUUGUUUCAGAUUUCCAACAGGGAUUUCCCUCCUUUCAAUGGCUACAUCAAGAACAAAAAAAAUAUGUUACAAAUGGAUUUUCAUUUCUAAACCUGACUCUAUAACCAGAAGCAUUGAAGAUUGUUAUAGAAGUGGGGGAAAGUGCAAAAUUCUUGGUAAUUCAAAUUCCAUGCCAGAUACAGAACCCACAUGGAAUUCCAACCAUGCUGAACUUCACAAAAUGAAUAGCUUUGGUGUUGAGCAGUCGGCCCCUAUUGUGGUGUGCUCAACUGCAAUCAUUCCUUUAUUCAGAUGUCUCACAGAGUUCAGUGAGUUUCACUCCUGAAUGCAUAAAUUUCCUCAUCUCAUUUAUAGCAACUUGGGACUUUAGACUUCUCUCUUAAGUAAACACAGCCAGAGGAAAAAAGGAGGAGAAUUCCCCAUCUUUUCUCCUAUUAGCCAAUCAGAUGGAGGAGAAGGAUGCAAACUGGGAAGUGAUCAGCUCUAAAAAGGUUAGGGAAUUUUCUUUGUGCUUUUGCUACAUUCUCUUCAGACGUUAGGAGUGUUAAUUGCGAUAAAAAUCCUCCUUUCCUUUUACUGUAAAUUCCAUGGUUAUGGAAAAGAAUAUUUUAAGUAAUAAAGGCAAUUUCAGCAAUUAAAUAGUUUCAAUUAUUCAUGUCUAUGGUGACAAAUUAACAGCCCAAUUUCUAACAGUCAGUGUUAACUAAUUUCUAAACUUUGUAUUUCAACUUCUGAUCCCGCUUUGCUUGUACAUCGUCAGAUACCUAGCUGGAUAUAUAAUCUUUCACCCUAGCUGAGUUGUACCCUUUUCCUAAAUGUGUCUCUUGUUCUGUUCAUUCGGUUCACAACAGCUAUUGUUGAAGGGCCAGUAAUAUGUGAAAAAAUAACUGAGCAAUAGGUUAGCAGGUUGCAAAUUGAUCUAAAUUCCAUUUUAUGGGUUGCAGUGAUCAAUUUACAUGUUGGCAAGAUGAGCUGAAGAAAUAUGCCCUGAAAUAAAAAGGCCCCCUUCUCUCUUCUUCCGGUUUUCAAAGCACAAUGCUUUCCUCAGUUAUUGUUUUUGCUACCUUUGGCACUUCUAUAGGUCCUCUUGCUUGAGUACAAAUGUCCACACUAUUGGAUACUGCCCUCUUCAACUGCGUUUGUGUUGCCAAAGAAAUGUGGCUGACCCUUUUCUUUAGGUUUCUCUGUUGACCAGGCAAAGCAGCAAUGAAUCUUGGCACUCUCCCUUGCCAUGGGUGUUCUUCAUCCGUCUCUUACGUGAGUGGGUUUAGUACAAUGGGUAUCAAACUUUGGGCUUCUGGAUAUUUUGAACUUCAGUUUCUAGAAGCCCUAGCCUGCUUGUCCAAUGGUCAGGGAUUCUGGGAACUGAAGUCCUGGAUACCUGAGGACCAAAGAUUACAAACCACUGUUCAGCAGAUAACAAAUAUGUAAUUAUUGCACAUCAAGGCAUUUAACAAUAAAAACACACACAAAGAAAAGUAGUAUCUUCUCUGCCAAACAGAAAGUAACUGCUUCCCUCUGUACCUGCAUAAAUGAAGUGGAGGAAAGUUAACCAAAAUGUCUUGAAAUAUCUGAUUUAUAUAAGUAGGAAUAACCCUGCACUGUUGGUUUUGGCUUGAAAUGGAAUCUUUUAUUAUGCCUUCCUCAAAACCAACCGACUGUUAUGACUCUUUGAACAAACUCAGAAUAACUAUCAACAUGGAAGCAGUUAGAUCCUUAUAUUGUACUGUUGAAUUCAAGCACCCUUGCCAUUUUCUUGUUACAUGAGAGUCUGAUGCGGUUGCCUUACAUGUCAGAGUCAGUGAAUCCAGGAUUCCAUCCAGACUAAGAGUGCUCAAUUCUCUACCAAAAAUUGGUUCGGUACUUUGGCUAGCUCCUUCAAAGCCCAGGGAAGCCCCACAGUGGAUUCAAACCACAGCCGAGUGAAUGAAUACAUACACUCUGGCCCUAAUCCAGAAGAUGGUUUGCUGAAAUUAAAUCCUUCUGAAAGUCAUGGAAUACUUCAGAAAUGUGAAUAAAAGAUGCAACUUGA